UAGAUAGACCAAGGGUCUGACUCAGUAUAUGGCAGUUUCCUGUGUUCCUAUGAUGGUUCCCAAACUUACAUUUCAUUCCAAAGUCAAAUUGGGAUCAGGAACAAGAUUGGCCCAAAGGGUUUCAGGGCUCUGUUCUGCACUCACCUGGGGUUUUUAAAUUGAAGUCCUACCUCUGUUGCAGGAGGAAGAAGUGCCUUUAAGGGGGUGGGCAGGCCAGGGGGUGGCCUCUUCCUGGUCUAGUAAUCCUUUUGCUACUAUCAACUUUAUUGGAUACCCACCACAAGCAUUUCCGGUCACAAGGAUUCCCAGAUGUUCUUGACUGCAACUCCCAUCAUCCCCUUCUGCAGUGAGACUAUGGGAGUUGUAGUCGACCACAUCUGAGAAUCACAAGAAACACAGCCCACCAGCAUCCCAUAUUGUCACAUGGUAUCAUCAGAAUAUUGGGGAAACAUCCUCUGAUGCUGUCAUAUAAGUAGUUAACCAAAAUAUCAUUCAGGGUUGGGAUGGACCAUAGCUCAGUGGCAGAACAUCUACUCUGCAUGCAGAGGGCCCCGGGUUCAAUCCCUGGCAGCAUCUUCAGGUAGGACAGUCAGAGAACUUUGCCUGCAACCUUGGAGAAGCUGCUGCCAGUCAGUGUAGACCAUACUGAGCUAGAUAAACCAAUAGUUUGGCCCAGUAUAAAGAGGCUUCUUGUUUCUAUGUGCCCUCCUCCCAUAAAGGGUCUCCAUUGGGUCAGUGUCAAGGUGGAUCCUGAUUGAUCUCCCUUUAAAAGCCGCACUCUGGCCAAGUGGGAUUGAUGACCAGCUUUCUCUGGCUCCAGAUAAUGACGGGUCUGUCCAUGAUCCUGAGAUUUAUUCCAGCCUUAUAUGGUGCCGGCAGUGGCGAUGUCCCUAAAGAUGCCACUUUUGACAAUUUCACAUCAGGAGCAGAAGCAUAAUACUAUAAUUAUCUUUUGCCUAGAGAAUCUCUCCUCUUAAGUUUGACAGGUAAAUACUUCUCAGCAUAACACUCAAACGGAUGGUUAAAGUGGAAGAGAUAAAAGCCCAAGGAGGGGAGAAGAAGAAUCAAACGGAAACGAAUCCUCUGGCUGUCUCUUAAGGUCGCUGUUCAGUCGCCAGCAGGGAGAGACUACUGGACUGAGGAUGGAACUAUAGCUCAGUGGAAGAGCAUGUGUUUUGCAUGUGGAACGUCCCAGGUUCAAACCCUGGCAGCAUCUCCAGAUAGAUGAUGUCACGGUUGCAUCAAUGAAUGUCGUUAUCUUGGAGCGGUGCCAUCCAAAUUAGAACCUCCCUCUUGGCUUCGAUCACCGUUUCAAGGACAAUCCAACGAACUCUAAGAGGAACUCAGAAUGGCUGCAAACAUUCUUGAUUCUUGACACAACACAUUUUGGGUGUGUUGUGAUUUCAUGUGUUGACCAGGUGUUCCCGACACUGGGGAGGGAGGUAAAUGUUUAUUAGCAGUAGGGAGCAGUGUCUAGAGCAGAAUAAGACUGCCAUAGCAUUAGGGCUGGGCGCAAAACCAGUCUGCCUGAUUCAGUUUGCGUCCAAACUGGACUCAAAGAGAACCAGACAGGUUUGGUUUUGUGCCCCCCCCCCCACAUUUGAGCCAGUUCAGGGGUUCUAAUGUAAAAAAUGUAAAUGGGAAAAUGUAAUA